GGGUUGUGAGGUUAAGCGAACAAGCGUACACGGUGGAUGCCCUGGCAGUCAGAGGCGAUGAAGGACGUGCUAAUCUGCGAAAAGCGCCGGUAAGGUGAUAUGAACCGUUAUAACCGGCGAUGUCCGAAUGGGGAAACCCGGUGCACUUCGGUGCAUCAUCGUUAGCUGAAUACAUAGGCUAACGAGGCGAACCGGGGGAACUGAAACAUCUAAGUACCCCGAGGAAAAGAAAUCAACCGAGAUUCCCCCAGUAGCGGCGAGCGAACGGGGAACAGCCCAGAGCCUGAAUCAGCUUGUGUGUCAGUGGAACGGUCUGGAAAGGCCGGCGAUACAGGGUGACAGCCCCGUACACGAAGGCACACAGGCUGUGAGCUCGAUGAGUAGGGCGGGACACGUGAUAUCCUGUCUGAAGAUGGGGGGACCAUCCUCCAAGGCUAAAUACUCCUGACUGACCGAUAGUGAACCAGUACCGUGAGGGAAAGGCGAAAAGAACCCCGGCGAGGGGAGUGAAACAGAACCUGAAACCGUGUACGUACAAGCAGUGGGAGCCUUCGUAAGAGGGUGACUGCGUACCUUUUGUAUAAUGGGUCAGCGACUUAUAUUCUGUAGCAAGGUUAACCGUAUAGGGGAGCCGAAGGGAAACCGAGUCUUAAUUGGGCGUUAAGUUGCAGGGUAUAGACCCGAAACCCGGUGAUCUAGCCAUGGGCAGGUUGAAGGUUGGGUAACACUAACUGGAGGACCGAACCGACUAAUGUUGAAAAAUUAGCGGAUGACCUGUGGCUGGGGGUGAAAGGCCAAUCAAACCGGGAGAUAGCUGGUUCUCCCCGAAAGCUAUUUAGGUAGCGCCUCGUGAACUCAUCUCCGGGGGUAGAGCACUGUUUCGGCUAGGGGGCCAUCCCGGCUUACCAACCCGAUGCAAACUGCGAAUACCGGAGAAUGUUAUCACGGGAGACACACGGCGGGUGCUAACGUCCGUCGUGAAGAGGGAAACAACCCAGACCGCCAGCUAAGGUCCCAAAGUCAUGGUUAAGUGGGAAACGAUGUGGGAAGGCCCAGACAGCCAGGAUGUUGGCUUAGAAGCAGCCAUCAUUUAAAGAAAGCGUAAUAGCUCACUGGUCGAGUCGGCCUGCGCGGAAGAUGUAACGGGGCUAAACCAUGCACCGAAGCUGCGGCAGCGACACUAUGUGUUGUUGGGUAGGGGAGCGUUCUGUAAGCCUGCGAAGGUGUGCUGUGAGGCAUGCUGGAGGUAUCAGAAGUGCGAAUGCUGACAUAAGUAACGAUAAAGCGGGUGAAAAGCCCGCUCGCCGGAAGACCAAGGGUUCCUGUCCAACGUUAAUCGGGGCAGGGUGAGUCGACCCCUAAGGCGAGGCCGAAAGGCGUAGUCGAUGGGAAACAGGUUAAUAUUCCUGUACUUGGUGUUACUGCGAAGGGGGGACGGAGAAGGCUAUGUCGGCCGGGCGACGGUUGUCCCGGUUUAAGCGUGUAGGCUGACUUUCCAGGCAAAUCCGGAAAGUUAAGGCUGAGGCGUGAUGACGAGGCACCACGGUGCUGAAGUGACAAAUGCCCUGCUUCCAGGAAAAGCCUCUAAGCAUCAGGUAACAUCAAAUCGUACCCCAAACCGACACAGGUGGUCAGGUAGAGAAUACCAAGGCGCUUGAGAGAACUCGGGUGAAGGAACUAGGCAAAAUGGUGCCGUAACUUCGGGAGAAGGCACGCUGACAUGUAGGUGAAGCCCCUGCGGGUGGAGCUGAAGUCAGUCGAAGAUACCAGCUGGCUGCAACUGUUUAUUAAAAACACAGCACUGUGCAAACACGAAAGUGGACGUAUACGGUGUGACGCCUGCCCGGUGCCGGAAGGUUAAUUGAUGGGGUUAUCGCAAGAAAAGCUCCUGAUCGAAGCCCCGGUAAACGGCGGCCGUAACUAUAACGGUCCUAAGGUAGCGAAAUUCCUUGUCGGGUAAGUUCCGACCUGCACGAAUGGCGUAAUGAUGGCCAGGCUGUCUCCACCCGAGACUCAGUGAAAUUGAACUCGCUGUGAAGAUGCAGUGUACCCGCGGCAAGACGGAAAGACCCCGUGAACCUUUACUACAGCUUGACACUGAACAUUGAGCCUUGAUGUGUAGGAUAGGUGGGAGGCUUUGAAGCGUGGACGCCAGUCUGCGUGGAGCCAACCUUGAAAUACCACCCUUUAAUGUUUGAUGUUCUAACCUGGCGCCGUGAUCCGGCGUGGGGACAGUGUCUGGUGGGUAGUUUGACUGGGGCGGUCUCCUCCCAAAGUGUAACGGAGGAGCACGAAGGUCAGCUAAUCCUGGUCGGACAUCAGGAGGUUAGUGCAAUGGCAUAAGCUGGCUUGACUGCGAGAGUGACGGCUCGAGCAGGUGCGAAAGCAGGUCAUAGUGAUCCGGUGGUUCUGUAUGGAAGGGCCAUCGCUCAACGGAUAAAAGGUACUCCGGGGAUAACAGGCUGAUACCGCCCAAGAGUUCAUAUCGACGGCGGUGUUUGGCACCUCGAUGUCGGCUCAUCACAUCCUGGGGCUGAAGUAGGUCCCAAGGGUAUGGCUGUUCGCCAUUUAAAGUGGUACGCGAGCUGGGUUUAGAACGUCGUGAGACAGUUCGGUCCCUAUCUGCCGUGGGCGCUGGAGAAUUGAGGGGGGCUGCUCCCAGUACGAGAGGACCGGAGUGGACGCAUCACUGGUGUUCGGGUUGUCAUGCCAAUGGCACUGCCCGGUAGCUAAAUGCGGAAGAGAUAAGUGCUGAAAGCAUCUAAGCACGAAACUUGCCCCGAGAUGAGUUCUCCCUGAGACUGUAAGUCUCCUGAAGGAACGUUGAAGACGACGACGUUGAUAGGCCGGGUGUGUAAGCGCAGCGAUGCGUUGAGCUAACCGGUACUAAUGAACCGUGAGGCUUAACCUUACAACGCCAAAGAAGU
rnacentral:rRNA from 1 species